GCGCGACGGCGCGUGCGGCGCGCUGCAGGUGGCGUGCCCCGACGGCCGCUGCGUGCCCGCGCACGAGUCCUGCGACGGAGAGGAAGGCGCGUGCUCGUGGCGCACGUGCUCGCAGCUGUGCCUGCCCAAGCGCAGCAACCACACCACCUGCAAAUGUGUACCGGGCUACAAACAGCGACAACUACCUGAUGGGACACUGACCUGCGAAUAUCUCGGU